rnacentral:rRNA from 1 species
AUGAACGCUAGCUACAGGCUUAACACAUGCAAGUCGAGGGGCAUCAGGAAGAAAGCUUGCUUUCUUUGCUGGCGACCGGCGCACGGGUGAGUAACACGUAUCCAACCUGCCCUUUACUCGGGGAUAGCCUUUCGAAAGAAAGAUUAAUACCCGAUGGCAUAAUGAUUCCGCAUGGUUUCAUUAUUAAAGGAUUCCGGUAAAGGAUGGGGAUGCGUUCCAUUAGGUUGUUGGUGAGGUAACGGCUCACCAAGCCUUCGAUGGAUAGGGGUUCUGAGAGGAAGGUCCCCCACAUUGGAACUGAGACACGGUCCAAACUCCUACGGGAGGCAGCAGUGAGGAAUAUUGGUCAAUGGGCGCUAGCCUGAACCAGCCAAGUAGCGUGAAGGAUGAAGGCUCUAUGGGUCGUAAACUUCUUUUAUAUAAGAAUAAAGUGCAGUAUGUAUACUGUUUUGUAUGUAUUAUAUGAAUAAGGAUCGGCUAACUCCGUGCCAGCAGCCGCGGUAAUACGGAGGAUCCGAGCGUUAUCCGGAUUUAUUGGGUUUAAAGGGAGCGUAGGUGGACUGGUAAGUCAGUUGUGAAAGUUUGCGGCUCAACCGUAAAAUUGCAGUUGAUACUGUCAGUCUUGAGUACAGUAGAGGUGGGCGGAAUUCGUGGUGUAGCGGUGAAAUGCUUAGAUAUCACGAAGAACUCCGAUUGCGAAGGCAGCUCACUGGACUGCAACUGACACUGAUGCUCGAAAGUGUGGGUAUCAAACAGGAUUAGAUACCCUGGUAGUCCACACAGUAAACGAUGAAUACUCGCUGUUUGCGAUAUACAGUAAGCGGCCAAGCGAAAGCAUUAAGUAUUCCACCUGGGGAGUACGCCGGCAACGGUGAAACUCAAAGGAAUUGACGGGGGCCCGCACAAGCGGAGGAACAUGUGGUUUAAUUCGAUGAUACGCGAGGAACCUUACCCGGGCUUAAAUUGCAGUGGAAUGAUGUGGAAACAUGUCAGUGAGCAAUCACCGCUGUGAAGGUGCUGCAUGGUUGUCGUCAGCUCGUGCCGUGAGGUGUCGGCUUAAGUGCCAUAACGAGCGCAACCCUUAUCUUUAGUUACUAACAGGUUAUGCUGAGGACUCUAGAGAGACUGCCGUCGUAAGAUGUGAGGAAGGUGGGGAUGACGUCAAAUCAGCACGGCCCUUACGUCCGGGGCUACACACGUGUUACAAUGGGGGGUACAGAAGGCAGCUAGCGGGUGACCGUAUGCUAAUCCCAAAAUCCUCUCUCAGUUCGGAUCGAAGUCUGCAACCCGACUUCGUGAAGCUGGAUUCGCUAGUAAUCGCGCAUCAGCCACGGCGCGGUGAAUACGUUCCCGGGCCUUGUACACACCGCCCGUCAAGCCAUGGGAGCCGGGGGUACCUGAAGUACGUAACCGCAAGGAUCGUCCUAGGGUAAAACUGGUGACUGGGGCU